rnacentral:rRNA from 1 species
GACGAACGCUGGCGGCGUGCCUAAUACAUGCAAGUAGAACGCUGAAGGAGGAGCUUGCUUCUCUGGAUGAGUUGCGAACGGGUGAGUAACGCGUAGGUAACCUGCCUGGUAGCGGGGGAUAACUAUUGGAAACGAUAGCUAAUACCGCAUAAUAGUAGAUGUUGCAUGACAUUUGCUUAAAAGGUGCAAUUGCAUCACUACCAGAUGGACCUGCGUUGUAUUAGCUAGUUGGUGGGGUAACGGCUCACCAAGGCGACGAUACAUAGCCGACCUGAGAGGGUGAUCGGCCACACUGGGACUGAGACACGGCCCAGACUCCUACGGGAGGCCGCAGUAGGGAAUCUUCGGCAAUGGACGGAAGUCUGACCGAGCAACGCCGCGUGAGUGAAGAAGGGUUUCGGAUCGGAAAGCUCUGUUGUAAGAGAAGAACGAGUGUGAGAGUGGAAAGUUCACACUGUGACGGUAUCUUAACAGAAAGGGACGGCUAACUACGUG